rnacentral:lncRNA from 1 species
UUUUCGUACCACGGCGAGGCCGGAUUCCUGUUUUAUCAUGAAUAUUCAUUAGGCAGGGUCGGGGAAAGUCUCGAUUCUCUUAAAUAUUCAUAUCGAGGUGGGAAUGCACGACGCGCGCUAUACUCGCACAAAGUGAGAAGAUUUAGUUCACGGAGAAUGCAUAUGGAUUGAAACUGAAGAGCUGGAAGGAGGACAUUACAACAUCUCUUAUAUUUGCAAGAUGAAGCAGAAAGUCCCAUGCAGGAUGAUGCCUCUCUACAGUGGAUGAUGAAGGCAUUCUGGUUUGCAAACUCAGGAGAGGAACAAAGAACAGAUGUUGACGGGAUCCUAUCUAGAGAUGCGGGCCUACUACACUUCAUACGAGCAAGUGUGCUAAUAUACAUGAAGACUUGGGUUAUAUUUUUUUCUGAAAACUAGGCUACAACUUUAGUGAUGGAUGCAGAAGGUAUCUACACGAGACUACGUCUUAAAGAUGCCACCCUCAUAUAAUGAAAGAGGACAAUAGAGAUGGGUUUAAACU